GAGAGCAGAACAGCAGAAAGGAGGCCAGGAGAGGGCUGAGCAACAUUAAGGAGCCGGGGGAGAGCAGAGCAACAUGAAGGAACCAGGAGGAGAGCAGAGCAGCAUAAAGGAGGCCGGGAGCGGAGCCACACUGGCAGUGAUCGGACUAUGACUCUGAACUGAAUGUGAGGGGAGUAAAUGGGGAAGUGGUGUCAUAGGACAAGGGGUCACAUGGGCAAAUCAAUGGUAUCGUCCACACAUGACUGAGAGAAGAAAACAUUGACGAGCGGAAACGCACACAAACCCACCCUGCAAGAAAUCCAGGCAGAAUGUGGUGUCUGAUGACAGGGUACCAACUGGUCAACAUAGAGGAUUCCAUGGCACUGUUACGAAGAAGAGCAGGGGACUUUACCCUGGUGUCCUGGCUAAUGUUUGUUCGUCAACAAACGUAAUGACAAAAGGCAGAUUAUCUGGUCAUUAUCACAUUGCGUUGUGGGAACUUGCUGUGCAUAAAUUGGCUGCCACAUUUCCUACAUUACAGCAGUGACUACGCUUCAAAAGUACCUAUUGGCUGCAAAGCACUUUGGGGCAUCGAGGCCAUUAAAGUGUUUCACUCGUGUAGACUAGUUUCAAUCUCUGAUUCUGGAAGCACACCAUUAAAUGCUUGGUACCUUUACUUUCCACUCUGGGAAAGAGACGAUGAACAUUCAGAGCCCAGGAGGAGCAUACACAACUGUCAGGAGAGAGAGAACGGUGCAAUGGGAUCAGCUCUUGGAUUGCCCUCAUGAAGAGCCAGCAUGAACGUGAUGGGCUGAAUGACCUUCUGCACAGUAAACACUGAUUGUUCAUCUGAAUUACUCCCUCUCUUUAUAUAGUGGAAGCUUUCAGGGUUAAUUAACACUGUUACUAAUCACCAGGAGAGGAGAAUUUCAGGUAAACUCAAUAAGGGUUUAGCGUCAGAUGGUGAAUUAAGUUAUCUCAGGCAGACAUAAAAGAUCCCACUGUACUAUUUUGAAAAACAGGCCGGUUCUCCCCAGUGUCCAGCCCAAUGUGAAAGGCGCUAUAUAAAUAGAAGCUCACUUUUUCUUCUAGUGUUGAUAAUCAGGUCAUUAUCACAUUACAUCUUGUGGGAUCUUAUGUUCCACAGAGAUUUUGAGGUUUGUCGAAUG